rnacentral:rRNA from 1 species
GACGAACGCUGGCGGCGUGCUUAACACAUGCAAGUCGAACGGAAAGGCCCUGCUUUUGUGGGGUGCUCGAGUGGCGAACGGGUGAGUAACCCGUGAGUAACCUGCCCUUGACUUUGGGAUAACUUCAGGAAACUGGGGCUAAUACCGGAUAGGAGCUCCUGCUGCAUGGUGGGGGUUGGAAAGUUUCGGCGGUUGGGGAUGGACUCGCGGCUUAUCAGCUUGUUGGUGGGGUAGUGGCUUACCAAGGCUUUGACGGGUAGCCGGCCUGAGAGGGUGACCGGCCACAGUGGGACUGAGAUACGGACCAGACCCCUACGGGAGGCAGCAGUGGGGAAUAGUGCACAAUGGGAGGAAGCCUGAUGCAGCAACGCCGCGUGCGGGAUGACGGCCUUCGGGUUGUAAACCGCUUUCGCCUGUGACGAAGCGUGAGUGACGGUAAUGGGUAAAGAAGCACCGGCUAACUACGUG